rnacentral:RNase_P_RNA from 1 species
CAGGUGGGAUGAUCUGUCGCGCCCCUGACGGGGUGAGGAAAGUCCGGACUGGAUAGGGCGACCUGCUGUGGAAAGCACAGAUGGGAGUGAUCUUAUGAAUGCCGUAACAGAAAACAAACCGCCCGCAAGGGUAAGGGUGAAACCGCGAGGCAAGAGCUCACGACGCCGUAUGGCGACAUAUGGCGGUGACGGCACCAGGUCCAGCAAGGCCAAAUAUACUGGAGAGCCCGAAAGGGCAAAAGGGCUGCCCGCUCUUUUCCAGGGGGUAGGCUGCGAAGAUAAAUGACAGAAUAAAACAGAAACCGGCUUACGGUCUCACCUGCAGC